rnacentral:rRNA from 1 species
GACGAGCUGGCGGCGUGCCUAACACAUGCAAGUCGAACGAAGUUUUAAGGAGCUUGCUCUUUAAAACGUUAGUGGCGGACGGGUGAGUAACGCGUGAGCAACCUGCCUCUCAGAGGGGGGAUAACGUUUUGAAAAGAACGCUAAUACCGCAUAAUAUAUUAGAACCGCAUGAUUCUGAUAUCAAAGGAGUAAUCCGCUGAAAGAUGAGCUCGCGUCCGAUUAGAUAGUUGCGGGGUAACGGCCCACCAAGUCGACGAUCGGUAGCCGGACUGAGAGGUUGAACGGCCACAUUGGGACUGAGACACGGCCCCAGGACUCCUACGGGAGGCAGGCAGUGGGGAAUAUUGCACAAUGGGCGAAAGCCUGAUGCAGCAACGCCGCGUGAGGGAAGACGGUCUUCGGAUUGUAAACCUUUGUCCUUGGUGACGAAAAGAAUGACGGUAGCCGAGGAGGAAGCCACGGCUAACUACGUG